GAUAAAUGCAAUUAGUUGGGAUGCAGCCCACUACUCUCACCACUACACCUUCAUUCACGGAAGUAACAGAGAAGUGACCCAUUAUUUACACCACCACCGUUUCACAUUAUAUAUGUAUAGGAGCCUUAGUAGGAAAACCCAGUUCUUUUGCUCUGAAGUGCUGCAGAACAGAGGUAAUUCUAGUGCAAUCGAUCAACUUCUUAUUUUCCUCAAAAUUCCCAAUUGAUUUUCUCUACCUGUCAUCUUUGAUUCCGAAAAUUCAAGUAGUAGCCAUCAGUUCAAUUUCCCUUCAGCGAUCAUCCUCAGGAUGAGACUGAGGAGUAAUGUCAAGGUGAUUCCACUAGGAUGGAGUGGAGAACUAUUAUUCCACUUAUGUCAUUAUGUUUUGCUGGAGACUUUUGUCGGAUCGUGACUUUCAUCUAUUUGGGUUGUUAGGCUCUGAUAUUGUGACAUCGGGGUCGGAUUUAAUAAAGUAGUUGUGAAUUUAUUUUGUGAUUUAUUUCAUUUUGAAAACUAUCCGUUAUAUUAGUUUUAUUAUGAAGAAGUUUGUAAGUCUCAAAUAGCCAAAGAUAUUUCUCUUUCAAUUUAUGAUGUUGGAUUUUAAUAUGUGGUUCACGUGAUAUCCUUUACCAUUCGAAAAUGUUUUUGAAGUAUUAUUAUUAUUGUUGUUGUUGUUGU
rnacentral:lncRNA from 1 species